rnacentral:lncRNA from 1 species
GAAAAUAAGAAAAGGGGGCCUUUGGGCAGAAGUGAAGGGGGCAAAAGCAAGCUGUGGGGCUUUUACAUGCUGUGAGAAGAAGAACAUAGGAGCUCAGGGAACAGGCUGCAUCAACUCCAUGGUAUCUCUAAGUCUCUAAGUCGGCUUUUGACUUUCAGCUGUUCCUUACUGGAGGUUACCGUUCAUCUGUCUCUGUCCCUUUGCAAAAGGGUCCUCUCUAAUCAUCCAAACCUACAUCUGUAGAAGGAUACACACUCUUGAUGACCAAGAGGAAGAACAGGACUGUAGUGUCACUGAGGCAAAGACAAUGGCACACAAAGACAUUGCAUUGGCUUCCGAGUCUAGAUCUAUAAAUAUAUUUAUUAUAAUAUAACAACUUAACAAUAAACAUAUACUAUAUACAAUACCAUUACAGAGAACCCUGUUUUAUAUCAUUCACAGAAAUAGCCAGUUUUGCUCCAGUGUGAUAGAUGAGGAGAGAAACGGAAUUUCAGUGUCACCGCGGAGUCUUGUUGACCACUAACACCUCCCUUGGAGGCAGACACACACCAAUGCUCACAUUCGCCCUGCCCCAGGCAGUUAGAAAUUUGUGCUCCAGUCCUUGGGUUCACACUUGCACCCUGUUUGACAUAAAUACUUUAAAUGACAUACAAUGUAUGUAGUUUUGUGCUUAUUACUUUUUUAAAAUAAUAAAUAAUAUUAAAAACUGCAUAACGAAGCUCGGUAUCUUGUCAAGUGGGAGCCACACUUGUAAUGCUAGAGGCUGAUGCCUGUCGUUAGGACUGGAAUUUUGGGUCAUCCAAUACUGAAUGAUGAAAGCAUGUAGUGUCUCUUUCUCUCUGUCAAUGGUUCUUGUCAUGAUGUGAUGGCAAGCUGACUUUCCAGGUAGCAAAAUGGUGUGUAUUUGGUACUAACUUCAACUAAACAGCACGGUGGCGGCGGCCUUCUUCCUGCCCUGGAAUGGAAACUGAUGACCGGGUGAGGUUUGAGGGUCUAAGGACUAAAGGGAAGGCCUUUCUCUUUUGAGCCUCGCUGGGACCUCUCCUGCCUUCCCUUUUCUCAGGUUACUAUGCAGAAAGGCAACAAGAAGAGUGUUUCUGCUUGUGCCUCUCAGGCCGUGACUGUCAUGGCUCGUCUAAGAAGGCUGUCCCCAUCCUGAGAGCUCUCAUGGCAGGUGCCUUGAAUAUAUAGCUAUAAAUAUCAAAAAUAGUCUCCUGUGCUUUGUAGACAUUUCUUCUCCCUCCCUCCCUCCCUCAGUCCCUUUCCCGGGGCCUGGGUCGUCAGCUUUACCUCAUGGAGGGAGCUGGACUGUUGUCAGAAGCCAGAACCAUGUUCUUCUAGAAUAGACCCUUCCCUCUGACAAUGCCUCCACAUGGCAUGGUCUUCCAGGACUGUCUGGGAGUUAACUUUUUCCAAAAAUAAAGUGGGGGGCAUGGCCCACCUCAGGAGAGAUCCUCUAUUCUGCACAUAGAAAAAUGAGAGCAAGGGCCCUACCUCUGGCGCUACCUACAAAGAGCUUUGGGAAGUCCCACAGCGUUGUCCCUCCUGUGGCCUCCUUCUCUCGGUACUUAAAAAUAGCCUUUUGUGUAUCAAGAAAAUGCCUUGGAAAUCUAAAUAAUUCAUACUGGCUAAGAGAAAGCUAGCAUACCCACCAUGUUCUUUUGCAGCAAAAACAUGGUAGAAAAAGCCAUGAAGGACAGGCGGCUCUUCCCAGCGACCCUGGCGGCUGCCGACCCUGGCUGCUCUUCCCAGCGACCCCUGCGGCUGCCAGCCCUGGCUCUGCACGUGCAGCUGGCCCUCCAUCCUGUCUAGUGGCACCAGGCGCUCUCCGAGGCCUUGGUGCUGCACAGUUCCAUUCCUCCUUUUUCUCUCGGCCACUUGAAAGUAUAGAUAGGUUUAAGAAAAACAAAAACAAAACCCAAAAAACUCC